rnacentral:lncRNA from 1 species
UGACGGAUGGCACUAGCGGAAAGGUGAGCACCGGUGGAGAUAAGCGAGAAAAGGAGUAGCGCGAGGCGGUAGGCAGCCUUGAAGAGGAUGAGUGGGCCCGCUGCUAGGGGAUGGUCCUAGGGAUUUUUGAAUCAACGAGAGCAGUGUCGGCCCAGGUAUCUUCUUCCAUCUCUGGAUCCUAAACUAUAUAUCUCUCUAAUCUGCAUUGACACGCAGUAGUGCCGGGUACAAGUGUGUGGCUGCUCCAGUGCGAUGAACAGUGCGAUGAAGUUAAUAGCUCUUUAUCCUUAUUCCUCUUAUUCAUUGUGUAUUUCCCCGUUUCAUACAUGUAACAAUGAUGAAUGAUGAUGAACUUAGACUUGGUGUAAGGAGAGUCAUUCUGUUUCCUUGAACUAAACAACCUUCUAUCCUUAUAUUUAUCCUAAAAGCUUUCAGACGAUACUCACACCAUAUGAUUCAUUGAAGCAUAGAAGUAUUUUUUUCACAUCUAUUACAAUCCAAUAUUUGUUAGUUAAUCAUAUUCUUUAUAUUCGCAAGUAGUAUAAAGUUGCCCCAAAAUUGGUAAUAUGAUUUUGGAUUAUACAUUAUAUGCCGACAAGGAGAUUAAUGCUGCCCAAUAAACUAGCAGUAUGAAAUAACCCUGCAUAUAUUUGUUGAUUUUGAAUUUGAGCCUUUCAAUCCAACUAAAAAAUUUAUUUGUACAAUAUUUACUGACUUUUACCUCUUGUUUUGCAGGCUAUCUAGAAUGAUUGCAUGUAUUAAUGAAGUAGUCCACGUUAGGUGGAUUGGCUCAAAAUGGAGAAGCAUGAUUGUAUUAAGCAUUUAAGCUCUAAGCAAUUUAGAAUGUCAAUGUCUUGGGGCUCCCUUGCAAUAUUUCAGAGAACUAUAUUUUUUC